CCCCUAGACGUUCUGGGCUGCACGCGCGCUACAAUAAUACGCACAGCGAGUAUCACCGAGCUCGAAAGGGCAAGGUAAACAAUGGAAAAGGUACUGUAAUGGUUAUAGAUCCUUGUAAUUAUUGAUCUUCAACGAGGAAUUCCUAGUAAGUAUGUGUCAUCAUCACGCACUGAUUACGUCCCUGCCCUUUGUACACACCGCCCGUCGCUCCUACCGAUUGGGUGAGCCGAUGAAACUCUCGGAUGUAGGCUAUUCAUAGCCCGCAGAAGAGAUUUGAAUCGUAGCGCUUAGAGGAAGGAGAAGUCGUAACA
rnacentral:rRNA from 1 species